GAUGAACGCUGGCGGCGUGCUUAACACAUGCAAGUCGAACGAACCUUCGGGUUAGUGGCGGACGGGUGAGUAACGCGUGAGAAUCUGCCCUCAGGAGGGGGACAACAGUUGGAAACGACUGCUAAUACCCCAUAUGCCGCGAGGUGAAAUGAAUUUCGCCUGAGGAUGAGCUCGCGCCUGAUUAGCUAGUUGGUGUAGGUAAUGGCUCACCAAGGCAUCGAUCAGUAGCUGGUCUGAGAGGAUGAUCAGCCACACUGGGACUGAGACACGGCCCAGACUCCUACGGGAGGCAGCAGUGGGGAAUUUUCCGCAAUGGGCGAAAGCCUGACGGAGCAACGCCGCGUGAGGGAUGAAGGCCUCUGGGCUGUAAACCUCUUUUAUCGAGGAAGAAGAUCUGACGGUACUUGAUGAAUAAGCCACGGCUAAUUCCGUGCCGAGCG
rnacentral:rRNA from 1 species